rnacentral:rRNA from 1 species
GGCGGCGUGCCUAAUACAUGCAAGUAGAACGCACAGGAUGCACCGUAGUUUACUACACCGUAUUCUUUGAGUUGCGAACGGGUGAGUAACGCGUAGGUAACCUGCCUGGUAGCGGGGGAUAACUAUUGGAAACGAUAGCUAAUACCGCAUAAGAACAUUUACUGCAUGGUAGAUGUUUAAAAGGUGCAAAUGCAUCACUACCAGAUGGACCUGCGUUGUAUUAGCUAGUUGGUGAGGUAACGGCUCACCAAGGCAACGAUACAUAGCCGACCUGAGAGGGUGAUCGGCCACACUGGGACUGAGACACGGCCCAGACUCCUACGGGAGGCAGCAGUAGGGAAUCUUGGCAAUGGGGGGAACCCUGACCGAGCAACGCCGCGUGAGUGAAGAAGGUUUUCGGAUCGUAAAGCUCUGUUGUUAAGGAAGAACGUGUGUGAGAGUGGAAAGUUCACACCAGUGACGUACUAACCAGAAAGGAC